rnacentral:rRNA from 1 species
CCUACGGGGGGCUGCAGUGGGGAAUAUUGGACAAUGGGGGGAACCCUGAUCCAGCCAUGCCGCGUGUGUGAAGAAGGCCCUCGGGUUGUAAAGCACUUUCAGUGAUGAAGAACGCCUGGUGGUUAAUACCCAUCAGGAAAGACAUCACUCACAGAAGAAGCACCGGCUAACUCCGUGCCAGCAGCCGCGGUAAUACGGAGGGUGCGAGCGUUAAUCGGAAUUACUGGGCGUAAAGCGCGCGUAGGUGGCUUGAUAAGCCGGUUGUGAAAGCCCCGGGCUCAACCUGGGAACGGCAUCCGGAACUGGCAAGCUAGAGUGCAGGAGAGGAAGGUAGAAUUCCCGGUGUAGCGGUGAAAUGCGUAGAGAUCGGGAGGAAUACCAGUGGCGAAGGCGGCCUUCUGGACUGACACUGACACUGAGGUGCGAAAGCGUGGGUAGCAAACAGGAUUAGAUACCCCAGUAGUC